AGAAGAAAGUGUCGUCUUUCGUGG
rnacentral:siRNA from 1 species